rnacentral:snRNA from 1 species
UGACUCUGGUUUCUCUCAUUACGCACAAGCCUUUCGCCUUUACUAAAGACUUCCGUGGAGAGGAACACUUACGAGUUCAACGUAUUUUUGGAGCGGCUUUGCUUCUGCAGAGCC